GUGGGUAGUUUGACUGGGGCGGUCUCCUCCUAAAGAGUAACGGAGGAGCACGAAGGUUGGCUAAUCCUGGUCGGACAUCAGGAGGUUAGUGCAAUGGCAUAAGCCAGCUUGACUGCGAGCGUGACGGCGCGAGCAGGUGCGAAAGCAGGUCAUAGUGAUCCGGUGGUUCUGAAUGGAAGGGCCAUCGCUCAACGGAUAAAAGGUACUCCGGGGAUAACAGGCUGAUACCGCCCAAGAGUUCAUAUCGACGGCGGUGUUUGGCACCUCGAUGUCGGCUCAUCACAUCCUGGGGCUGAAGUAGGUCCCAAGGGUAUGGCUGUUCGCCAUUUAAAGUGGUACGCGAGCUGGGUUUAGAACGUCGUG
rnacentral:rRNA from 1 species